UCAUGCAGCUGUCUUCCCUGCCUUGUGUGUGUGCAGUGUAUAAAUACAUACAUUACAUUUAGCCUAUUCCUUGUGUUUCUACUUUCCAGAGAGCAACAACUACCUGUGGCACUGGAGACCCAAAGUGCAGCUGAGAACCAGCUGCUCUAAUAACUCAUCUGCACAAUCCUACACAACACAGCCCUGGAGGGAGUGAACCAGCAUGCCCAGAAGAAGCACUACAUCCAAGAACCCAAAGGAGAAUUGCUGCAGAGACAGAUGAAGUGACAUGAUUCAGGUCACCCAAGGGCUGUGUCUAAGAAAGGAGCUGAACCUGGGGUGCUCCCAGCAGGGACUGAGUACAGUGUAGGCUCUGGAUGUACCUGGAUGCCAUUAAAGGACAAGGAUUUCAUAGCUGGAAAGGGACCCACUGUCAUGUGCACAGCUUACUGGGAAAGGCACAGCAUGCCCACAGCUGGGCAGGAUGUGCAGCUGAUUUCUUCAUUUGCCUUUUUGGUUCCUAUUCUCAUGUUGAUACAUAUCAGUCCAGCACUGUGAAAUUGACUUUUCUUUUUUUGCUACUCCCAGAAAUACCAUUUUGCAAUGAUUUUUCCAUUUCUAGAGUGGGUCAGGUUGUCAUGGUCAGUGUCCCUGUUGUGGUGUCUAAGCAGAUUAGGGAGGUGGCACAGGGCUGCAGCAGAAUGGCAUAGCCAGAGCUCUGCCACCGGCACCAGAAACUUUGAGGGCGUUCCCCAGAAGGCUCCUCAGGGGGUAGGAACCCAAGCAGAUUCUUAAGUAAAUGUUCCCAUAAGAAACUCUUCUAGAAAAGCUGAAACUGAACUUGAACCAAAAGUGUAGGAGACGACCACAGGAUGCUAGAAUGGUUUAGGCUUGAAGGGACCUUAAAGACCAUCUAGUUCACCCCCCUACCACGAGCAGGCACACCUGCCACUACACCAGCUUACUCAAACACUUGACCUUGCUUCAAACACUGUUAGAAGAAACUCUCUUUGGCCAAAAUCUAGCUAUAUUCCUGCACUCCAGUAAGCCUGGCUGCUGUCUCCCUCCUGGAGAUGACUUAAUUCUACAAGGUUCCUCAGCCCAGGCUCUCUAUGCCUCAAAAGCAAUUGUUUGUGCUGUAGCUGGGAAAUGUGUAUCAUCACAGUUGUCUUUUUUUCCACUGCAGAGUAAUUAAUCGAUAUUUCUCAUGGAGGGCAGUCAAUUCUCAUUACUCUGGGCUUUCACAAAGCUGGUUUGUUUGGGUUUUUUCACACAAGUGGAAUAUCCAAGAGACACUUCAUGCUAAGGCUGAAGUCUCGGUGUCACAGUCAAUCUCUUUGGGCUGUGAGAGUGUGAAGGCAGCACUCAGAGGCAAAUUGAAGGCAAAUUUUAUGUCGAGGGAGGCAGCCACAGCUUCAGAACUCUCUGCUGGUGUAAAAUUAAUGGAGGUAUUACUGCAAACUUUUCCAUGCAGCUCUGUGUCAGCUGCUGUGGGCCUGUGAGACAGUGCCAAGGGCUGGGGCAGGGGCAUGGCGGAGUAGAGGCUGCAAGGCACCAGCUUUUUGUUAAUGCAAGAUGAUGGAACCCUGGAAUGGUUCGGGUUGGAAGGGACCUU